CGGUGCUCGGGACCCUCAAUGUGAAGUCAUCAAACACUCCUUGUCUCGCAAGCACCGCGGCGCCGACGCUCUUUCCGGCGCAAACACUGUCUAAUUGCCGAUGAACUCCAGCACACGUAAACACAUCUUUCA
rnacentral:lncRNA from 1 species